GAGUUUGAUCCUGGCUCAGGAUGAACGCUAGCGGCAGGCCUAACACAUGCAAGUUCGAACGGUAACAUGAGAGCUUGCUCUUGAUGACGAGUGGCGCACGGGUGCGUAACGCGUAUACAAUCUACCUUUUACAGAGGGAUAGCCCAGAGAAAUUUGGAUUAAUACCUUAUAGUAUUGUUUUAUGGCAUCGUAAAACAAUUAAAGAUUUAUCGGUAAAAGAUGAGUAUGCGUUCUAUUAGUUAGUUGGAGUGGUAACGGCACCCCAAGACAGCGAUAGAUAGGGGCCCUGAGAGGGGGAUCCCCCACACUGGUACUGAGACACGGACCAGACUCCUACGGGAGGCAGCAGUGAGGAAUAUUGGACAAUGGAGGCAACUCUGAUCCAGCCAUGCCGCGUGCAGGAAGACUGCCCUAUGGGUUGUAAACUGCUUUUAUACAGGAAGAAACCGCUCUACGUGUAGAGCUCUGACGGUACUGUAAGAAUAAGGAUCGGCUAACUCCGUGCCAGCAGCCGCGGUAAUACGGAGGAUCCAAGCGUUAUCCGGAAUCAUUGGGUUUAAAGGGUCCGUAGGUGGAUAAUUAAGUCAGAGGUGAAAGUUUGCAGCUCAACUGUAAAAUUGCCUUUGAUACUGGUUAUCUUGAGUUAUUAUGAAGUAGUUAGAAUAUGUAGUGUAGCGGUGAAAUGCAUAGAUAUUACAUAGAAUACCNAUUGCGAANGCAGAUUACUAAUAAUCAACUGACACUGAUGGACGAAAGCGUG
rnacentral:rRNA from 1 species